rnacentral:hammerhead_ribozyme from 1 species
ACCUUGCUGACGAGUGCCAAGUAGCACAAAACCCGUGUCCAGGGUUUCCUGUCGACUACUUCCAACCUCCAUCUAACGAAGACGCGUGUUUCGUCCUAUUUUGGACUCGUCAGCUGGAUGUGCCAACAUCCCAGAGUUGAUGUUCACUCUGGAAUAGGACGAAACGCGAGUCUUGGAU